GCGGGAGUGGCGAAACUGGUAGACGCCCGGGACUUAAAAUCCUGUGGGCCUCGGCCCGUGCGGGUUCAAAUCCCGCCUCCCGCA
rnacentral:tRNA from 1 species